UGCCAGCCGCCGCGGUAAUACGGAGGGUGCAAGCGUUAAUCGGAAUUACUGGGCGUAAAGCGCACGUAGGCGGACAAUUAAGUCGGAUGUGAAAGCCCUGGGCUCAACCUGGGAAUGCCAUCCGAUACUGGUUGUCUGGAAUACAGUAGAGGGUAGUGGAAUUUCCGGUGUAGCGGUGAAAUGCGUAGAUAUCGGAAGGAACAUCAGUGGCGAAGGCGGCUACCUGGACUGAUAUUGACGCUGAGGUGCGAAAGCGUGGGGAGCAAACAGGAUUAGAUA
rnacentral:rRNA from 1 species